UACGUAGGGGGCUAGCGUUGUCCGGAAUCAUUGGGCGUAAAGAGCGCGUAGGCGGCCAGAUAAGUCCGGUGUGAAAGUCACAGGCUCAACCUGUGAAUGCCGCUGGAAACUGUCUGGCUAGAGUCCGGGAGGGGCGAGUGGAAUUCCUGGUGUAGCGGUGAAAUGCGCAGAUAUCAGGAGGAACACCAAUGGCGAAGGCAGCUCGCUGGAGCGGUACUGACGCUGAGGCGCGAAAGCGUGGGGAGCAAACAGG
rnacentral:rRNA from 1 species